GGACCCGCACAAGUAGUGGAGCUAUGUGGUUUAAUUCGAAGAUACGCGCAGAACCUUACCAACACCUUGACAUGUUCGUCGCGACUCUGAGAGAUCAGAGUUUUCGGUUCGGCCGGACGAAACACAGGUGCUGCAUGGCUGUCGUCAGCUCGUGUCGUGAGAUGUUGGGUUAAGUCCCGCAACGAGCGCAACCCUCACUUUUAGUUGCCAUCAUUAAGUUGGGCACUCUGAAAGAACUGCCAGUGAUAAGCUGGAGGAAGGUGGGGAUGACGUCAAGUCCUCAUGGCCCCUUACGUGUUGGGCUACACACGUGCUACAAUGGUAUCUACAACAGGAAAGCAAGACUGCGAAGUUAAG
rnacentral:rRNA from 1 species